AUUGAACGCUGGCGGCAUGCCUUACACAUGCAAGUCGAACGGUAACAGGUCUUCGGAUGCUGACGAGUGGCGAACGGGUGAGUAAUACAUCGGAACGUGCCCGAGAGUGGGGGAUAACGAAGCGAAAGCUUUGCUAAUACCGCAUACGAUCUCAGGAUGAAAGCAGGGGACCGCAAGGCCUUGCGCUCACGGAGCGGCCGAUGGCAGAUUAGGUAGUUGGUGGGAUAAAAAGCUUACCAAGCCGACGAUCUGUAGCUGGUCUGAGAGGACGACCAGCCACACUGGGACUGAGACACGGCCCAGACUCCUACGGGAGGCAGCAGUGGGGGAAUUUUGGACAAUGGGCGCAAGCCUGAUCCAGCCAUGCCGCGUGCAGGAUGAAGGGCCUUCGGGUU
rnacentral:rRNA from 1 species